rnacentral:rRNA from 1 species
UACAGAGGUCUCAAGCGUUGUUCGGAUUCAUUGGGCGUAAAGGGUGCGUAGGCGGCGGGGCAAGUCAGGUGUGAAAUCCCGGAGCUCAACUCCGGAACUGCACUUGAUACUGGAGCGCUUGAAUCCAGGAGAGGUUGGUGGAAUUCCCAGUGUAGAGGUGAAAUUCGUAGAGAUUGGGAAGAACACCGGUGGCGAAGGCGGCCAACUGGACUGGUAUUGACGCUGAGGCGCGAAAGCGUGGGGAGCAAACAGG